GUGAAGACAUGAGAUCCAACUCUGAGCUCACCCUGUGCUAAAUGGAUAAUGCCAGUACUCUCUUGUGGAAGGUAUUACCAGAGCAAGGGAUGUAGUUGUGAUCAUUUUCUCCUUGAUAAUGUAGUUCUGGUCAUUUUUUCCUUGAUAGGUGAUUGAAGCCUCCGAUGUUGUCCUAGAGGUGUUGGAUGCCAGAGAUCCUCUUGGUUGCAGAUGUCCUCAGGUAGAAGAGGCCAUUGUCCAGAGUGGACAGAAAAAGCUGGUACUUAUAUUAAAUAAAUCAGAUCUGGUACCAAAGGAGAAUUUGGAGAGCUGGCUAAAUUAUUUGAAGAAAGAAUUGCCAACAGUGGUGUUCAGAGCCUCAACAAAACCAAAGGAUAAAGGGAAGAUAACCAAGCGUGUGAAGGCAAAGAAGAAUGCUGCUCCAUUCAGAAGUGAAGUCUGCUUUGGGAAAGAGGGCCUUUGGAAACUUCUUGGAGGUUUUCAGGAGACUUGCAGCAAAGCCAUUCAGGUUGGAGUAAUUGGUUUCCCAAAUGUGGGGAAAAGCAGCAUUAUCAAUAGCUUAAAACAAGAACAGAUGUGUAAUGUUGGUGUAUCCAUGGGGCUUACAAGGAGCAUGCAAGUUGUCCCCUUGGACAAACAGAUCACAAUCAUAGAUAGUCCGAGUUUC
rnacentral:sRNA from 1 species